GACGAACGCUGGCGGCGUGCCUAAUACAUGCAAGUCGUGCGGACCUUUUAAAAGCUUGCUUUUAAAAGGUUAGCGGCGGACGGGUGAGUAACACGUGGGCAACCUGCCUGUAAGACUGGGAUAACGCCGGGAAACCGGGGCUAAUACCAGAUCGUUUUUUCCUCCGCAUGGAGGAAAAAGGAAAGGCGGCUUCGGCUGCCACUUACAGAUGGGCCCGCGGCGCAUUAGCUAGUUGGCGGGGUAACGGCCCACCAAGGCAACGAUGCGUAGCCGACCUGAGAGGGUGAUCGGCCACAUUGGGACUGAGACACGGCCCAAACUCCUACGGGAGGCAGCAGUAGGGAAUCUUCCGCAAUGGACGAAAGUCUGACGGAGCAACGCCGCGUGAGUGAAGAAGGCCGUCGGGUCGUAAAACUCUGUUGCCGGGGAAGAACAAGUGCCGUUCGAACAGGGCGGCGCCUUGACGGUACCCGGCCAGAAAGCCACGGCUAACUACGUG
rnacentral:rRNA from 1 species